AACGAACGCUGGCGGCGCGUCUUAAGCAUGCAAGUCGGACGGUAAGGAAGGAGCUUGCUUCUUCCCUAGAGUGGCGGACUGGUGAGGAACGCGUGGGUGACGCACCCUUCGGACGGGGAUAGCCGGUAGAAAUACCGGGUAAUACCGGAUAAGAGCGCCUCCUUAGAGGGAGGCGGAGAAAGCGGCUUCGGCCGCGCCGGAGGAACGGCCCGCGUGCUAUUAGCUAGUUGGCGGGGUAACGGCCCACCAAGGCGACGAUCAGUAGCCGGCCUGAGAGGGUGAACGGCCACAUUGGGACUGAGACACGGCCCAAAACUCCUACGGGAGGCAGCAGUGGGGAAUAUUGCACAAUGGGGGAAACCCUGAUGCAGCAACGCCGCGUGAGUGAAGAAGUAUUUCGGUAUGUAAAAGCUCUAUCAGCAGGGAAGAAAAUGACGGUACCUGACUAAGAAGCCCCGGCUAAACUACGUG
rnacentral:rRNA from 1 species